rnacentral:rRNA from 1 species
UACGUAGGGGCCUAGCGUUGUCCGGAUUUAUUGGGCGUAAAGAGCUCGUAGGCGGUCUGUUGCGUCCGCUGUGAAAACUCGGGGCUUAACCCCGAGCCUGCAGUGGAUACGGGCAGACUAGAGGUAGGUAGGGGAGAAUGGAAUUCCCGGUGUAGCGGUGAAAUGCGCAGAUAUCGGGAGGAACACCGGUGGCGAAGGCGGUUCUCUGGGCCUUACCUGACGCUGAGGAGCGAAAGCGUGGGGAGCGAACAGG